rnacentral:misc_RNA from 1 species
UUAAGUUCAGCGGGUAGUCCUACCUGAUUUGAGGUCAGAGUUCGAUGAAAGCUGUCUCGCAAGAGACGAUUAGAAGCUGGCCAUUAAACGCUUCAACGGUCGCGGCGCAGAUAAUUAUCACACCGUGAGCCGAUCCGCAAGGAACCAAGCUAAUGCAUUUGAGAGGAGCCGACUGCUAGAGCCGACAAGCCUCCAAGUCC